AGCCGCCCGCCGUGCGGGAGCUCCGGCCCGCCGAAGGAAGUGGCGGCUCCCCGCGGCGGGUGGGCACGGCUGGGGCUGGGGAGAAGAAGAAGCAAACCGUGCGGCAGGAGCAAGGGUGCAGGGGCUGGGGGGGGGGGGCUGAGGCUUUUCGCCUUUUUUCCCCGCCCCGCAGCACCGAGCCCGCCCGCCUCUCUUCCCCCCCUCGCCAGCUCCACGGCGGGUGAGGGAACGAGCAGAGCCGAGCCAGAAGCCGCCGCCGCUGUCGCUGCUGCUUGCUCCCGGCCCACCCUCGCCGUGUGUGUGUGUGGGGGGAUUAUGCCAGCGGAGCUCCGGCAUGUCGGCACGCAGAGACCCGUAGGCAGCCGCCGAGCCGCAGCGAGAACCGCGGCCGGGAGCAGCCGGAUGUUGACACAUGUGGACCAACAGUGACAUCCUUUUCCAGCAGUGCUGUCUCCGCUCCCUCCUGCAUUCAGAAGCAUCUAGAGAGAUUUUUUGCAGAAGGUAGGUUCUGGCAGUUCAGCUGGAUGGCUGUUCUUUCUCUCCUAUACUAGAAAAAGAAAACAUUUACAUGUUACUAGGGAGAAUGGUAAUGAGGCCGGUGGAUACUCGCUUGCUGGUGAGAGAGGGGAUUAACCUUAGCUUGGGUUCCACUUGAAUAUCCGCUGAGGGGAAACGUGAUAAAAUGGAGUCUGGAAGAAUGGCUGUACGAGUUGCCUUUGAGAAGGGCUUGGCAGCCACAGGACGUGGUUGGCUUAAAUUACGUAGACAUGUGUUGGUGAUAAACCUCUUUUUGAGGAAAACUCACGUUCCCCCCCCUUUUUCUGGUCAGUCAGUCUUCUUGUUUAUUUUAAAUCCUUCAAAUAAAUAAAUCAAAAGGGAAAAUGGCUGUGCAGGAUGUGCAAUUAACAUAAACUUUGUGUGUGUAUUUAAAUAUUCUGUGGGUCUCCCCCUAAAAAAAAAUAAAAAAUAAAUCUUAACCUUAUUACAUUUUAUUUGUACUGAAAUAAACAGCAUGCAGCCCAUGGUGCUGCCAUAACAUUGCUGUUCAUUUCUACCUCCCUCAUUUUUUUUCCUCCCAUCCUCUGAACUUCUAACUUGCUUUACAUUUCAAGAGGAUUGCCAUGCCAAACUUCUGUAGUAGAGUGUAGAUGGGGAUGUAAAUCUUAAGAGACUUUUUUGCUUUUUACCUGCUACUUCCUUGUGCUCUAACCUCUGGAGUAUUGCUUAUGGGUUCACUUUGUGUGUCUCCAGCUCCUGCUAAGCCUCCUUUAUGUGAGUUCUAGAAAUGUGUAUCAUACUCUUAAAUCUGUGCAGAAAAUUAGUGGCUGAACAGAAAUGUUUUUCAGUAGAUGGGGUGUCAGCCUUUAGACUACCAGAAUGGGUAGUUUUGCAUCUCCUUAUUUUCCUCCAGUGAGUUCCUUGCCGCUUAUUUUUUUCCCCCUCUGUCAAGAAGUGUUUUUAACUGUUAACUCCACCAAAGGUUUCUCUUUGCAGUGACACGGUGAUGUAGCAAUUUUGCAGUUUUGCUGCAGGAUGCUAAAACUCAAAAUUCCCAACUUUUGGUUUAAGAGUAAUGGAUUGCUGGGAAGAACAGAGAAGGGGUAAAUGAGUUUGGAUCUGAGACUGCUCACACAUCAGACCGAGGAAAUCCAGAGAAAUUGAAAACACAUUUCCAAGUUGUAGCACUUAUACUGAAAUCACAGUGACACUAGCUUCGUAUUAAUGUGCAAUACCUGAAAUCCUUGAAAAUUAAGGGUCACUUGAAUACUUUAAUUAUCUCCUGUCAGCAAAUUGGCUCCCGGUGAAUUCAUUGCCCUUCCCUCUGUUGAUUCCCUCCCUGAAGCCUCUCUUAGCAUCAGCAGAGCCCAGGGCUGGCUCGAGUAGGCUGCUCACACUGCUGCAGCUUGUCCCUCGGUGGGAUACCUAAUUUUCUUGAGAGAGCUCGGCAGCUUUUCUUCUGCCCACUGCAGCCCUGUGGUGGAGCUGUGGACAGGUCUCUCCGGGAACAGACACUGCUGUCAGCAGCUUUACCAGAGGAGUUGAUGUAGUGGCAUUAAUUGCCAUGUGAGUUUGUGCUCCCAUGCUGAGGGAGGACAUCUCUGUCUCAAAAACUAUGCCUCCCUUGCUAUAGAUCACUCGAUGUCCCCUUGCUCCCCUGUAGGGUGUUGCAGAGGAGAGCAUUUCUCUGAAUUAGCAGUAACAGCAAAGAACUGCAAUCCUUAGCAAUGUUUAAGGUUCGCAUGGCUUUGGGACUGUGGCACGGCUCUUUUCACUUGCCUGAAGGACUCAGCACUCCGCAGGGCUGAUCUUCCUCUCCAAGAGGUGCCCGAGUGGUUGUUGAGAGCCUGGGCGGGUAAGGGGAAAAGUGCCUUCGGUGUGUUCCCAGUGAAACAAAUUUGUGCCUCUUGCAUCACUGGAGAGCAAGUAAUGUCCCUGGAUUGGCAGGUGAGGAACAUAAGAAGAAAAAUGAGUUUUAAACAUCAUCAGGGAAUGCAGCGUUCAUGAAAACAAAGGGCUGAAUAACAAUGUCCACAGCACAGGAAAAUGCUGUAGCAUUCUACCAGCAUCCCUGUGCAGCCUGGAGGCUUUGAAGCAGGACAGAGCAAAAAUAAUGGGAAGAUAGUCCUCUGAAAGUCAUCCCUGGGAGUAUUUUGCAUGGAAUUAUUUAAAAAUCUAGGAAAGCAACCUAAAUCCCUGGCAGAAGCAGAAAGGCAGAGCAGGAUCUGAACGCCUGUAAUGCUCCUAUCGUGGCUGUGGGACCGCAGUGAGAUGCUGGCUUGUGGAAGGAGCAUGAUAAGGGGAGGUGGAGGGUGCUGAUGCAGCCGUGGAGUUGCCUGCUCUGUCCCUCAGCAUCCUGCCUUCAGCUGUUCAGGGACCCUGCACUGCUUCUGCCUCUUCCCUUCCUACGAGAGCAGAAGCUGGAUGGGAUGAGUGAGUGUCCUCUCCGUCAGAAGAGGCAGAAUGUGGCUUUUCUCUCCCAGAGCCCUGCACCCUUUUACAUAGAGACAAAUUGGGGCUGAAUCUUACUUUUUCUGUGCUCUGUACUUGCCGGGGGCCUUACUGCAUGACCUGUGACAUGCCAAUAAUACCCCUUGAGAGGGCUGGCUUUAAGGAAACCGCCUGAAUUGUGUGCAAUCUGUUGUCAAGCUGGAUCCUUUGCGUACUGCAAAACACUGUACAGUGAGUUAGAUCGAGGUGAUAACGCUUUAGAAAGCGGGGUGAGGGCUGCUGCCGUGCCAGCAAGGAGGGGAACCCUGUUUGGCAGCAUAACAGCACUACAACCGCGGUGUUCCCGUACCUCAGUGUGUAAAGGUUACGGGUUCGGGUGACACAUGUUAUGGGGCCAGGCUGUUAGCAGGUCAGGGAGGGGAACUGGGGGCCUUGUAUGGGUAGGAGGUGGUUACAGGUGAGCUGAGUUAGACCUGACAGCCCAGGUCAUAAAUAUUUGGAAAGGCACAGAAAUAGCCCUGUUAGAAAAGGUAGUCUCCUGAAUGGUCUGAUGUGAACUUUCUGGUGGAUCUAGGGUGGCUUUUCUUCUUUUUUUCCUCAGUCCUUUUCUUCCUUUUUAUAAUAGAAGCCCUAGACAUGAGGAACUGUUUGGACGUACGUAUUUAACUGGGAGGAAAGAGCUGUAACACUGGUGUGGCUCUAACCACAAACUGACGGUUUCCUGCUGCAAGUAACUUUCUAUAGACCUAAACCUCGUUCUCUUGUGUUUGUCUGCGCUGUUUAAAUAGCUGAGGCCGAUUCCACUGCUUCUAGGCUUCUUGUUUUUGAUAAAGGCUUUGUUGUAGCAGUUUGGGGGUGGCAGCAUGAAGCAAGAUCAUUAGAGGUCUAAUAAAAAUUCAUGGCUGGUGAAGUCCAGAAGGCUUCUGUAUCUUCUGAUCUCGUGUAAUGUAGAAGUCAAGAAGCAGCACCAAUAAACGUGUGUCAGAAUGGCUUUGUAAUUACAUUUGCCUGCAUAAAGCUGUUUAUUUCUGGGGUGAUAGGAUGUAAUCGUAUGAACCUACAUGCCUGAGACCUCUUCACCCAGUAUUUCCGUGGCAUCGUUACGUGCUUCUAAUUCUCCUCCCCUUCCCCAUCCUCCUUCCCUGUGAUGUGUUAAAUAUCACGGCCGCAAAAACGAGAGCACGUUUCUCCCUGCUGUUCCCAUUCCAGCUGGAAAACUCGGACAGAUCCUUCCCCUGUGGUUUGUGACACUGUAAAUAAAGGCUUGGGAGGUCACACGUUCUCCAUCUCAAGUUAUUUUGAUUUCGGUGCUGGAAUGGUGGGGGGCAGGGAUCAAAAAAAAGCAAAACCCCAAAUUGUUCUGUUUUAUUGUGAAAAUAAACAACUUGUUAUUAUGAGUGAGAGCAGUUGGGGGAAAAAGACAGUCUUUGACUAAAGCUGAGGGUUAGAGAAUUGGACUCGAGGAUUUCAGAGGAAUCUCCUAUUAAGCUUUGAAUGAAAAGUCACCUAUGAAGGAGAAGUUCUGGACACCACGCUCUUGUGAUCUAGUGCUGUUCCUGGAUGCCUCCAAAAAAUUGUCCAGCUUUAAAGGCAUAUUGACAGGACUCUGUAAGCAUAGUGGUGAGUAAUUUUACCGCUGAUGAAUGAGCAGCAUUAAUGUGUUAAGUGACCUUUGAGCGUAUGAGUAAAGCGAGCUUUUAAAUAUGGGGCUGAGAAUUUCUGCCCGUGGGUCUCGCUGGCUGUGAUGCAUCUUGUGGUUUGGCCAGGCUGAGUCGUUGCUG
rnacentral:lncRNA from 1 species